rnacentral:rRNA from 1 species
GACGAACGCUGGCGGCGUGCCUAAUACAUGCAAGUCGAACGCACUCUCGUUUAGAUUGACGGAGUUUGCUCCUGAUUGAUAAACAUUUGAGUGAGUGGCGGACGGGUGAGUAACACGUGGGUAACCUGCCCUAAAGUGGGGGAUAACAUUUGGAAACAGAUGCUAAUACCGCAUAAAACCUAACACCGCAUGGUGUAGGGUUGAAAGAUGGUUUCGGCUAUCACUUUAGGAUGGACCCGCGGUGCAUUAGUUAGUUGGUGAGGUAAAGGCUCACCAAGACCGUGAUGCAUAGCCGACCUGGGAGGGUAAUCGGCCACACUGGGACUGAGACACGGCCCAGACUCCUACGGGAGGCAGCAGUAGGGAAUCUUCCACAAUGGACGAAAGUCUGAUGGAGCAACGCCGCGUGAGUGAAGAAGGUGUUCGGAUCGUAAAACUCUGUUGUUGGAGAAGAAUGUAUCUGAUAGUAACUGAUCAGGUAGUGACGGUAUCCAACCAGAAAGCCACGGCUAACUACGUG